AUUCCUGCAUGUUUUGAGUUGAUUGCUUCUGGUUCAGCAGCCAAUGCGAGGAAAUCCCAAAUGAGCUACUUGCAAUAAUAGAGACAUUGAGGCUAGAGUAGGCUGCUGGAGCAUCCUGUUUCUGCACAUGUUCUUGAAAUACAUAGGGGCCCUAGCAAAAAUUUCAAUAAAAAAACUAAUAGCCUAAUAGCUUAUUGACACUAAUACAGUCUAUUAGGUCUAUUAGUAUAAUAGGUCUAUUAGUCCUAUUAGUGUUAGUGUAAUAGGUCUAUUGGUGUGAUAGAAAAUGUUGCAAUGCGCCAGAUACAGAAUGAAAAACAGGUAAAAUUGCUAGAAGUAUUCAUAAGCACAGCAUGUAUUUCUACAGAUUCCUCUUUCGAGAUCUUCGUCACGUCAGCAAUCUUGAUUGAGAGCUUUUCGUUGACUUCGACCAAAGGGACAUACUUUUGAGGAAGUGGUUAAAAAAAACCUGGGCACAUAAAUACAAACAUAUAGAAACAGUUAAAAGCAGGGGUGCUAGUUCUACCACAAAACGUUUAAGCAGGCUAUAUUUGCUUCCAAAUUAGAAUAAUGGGGCUCCACAAUUACCAAACUAAUUUUAGGACGGUGUGAUAUAUGCUAGCUCAAAAUGUUUAUCAUAAUAAAAAAUGUCGCCACUGACAUGACAGGACAAUUAUAAAGCACACAAAAUCAACAUAAGAUGUGUGUUCCAUCGAAACUAUAGGCAGAUGUAAGGAGCUCUACACAGAAAUCUUGCACAGCGUUGUUGGAAACAGGCAUGUCAUUGCUGCGACGCACACAGCAAUCGGCCCGACGGCACUGUACAGAAAUACUUACGUCCACCGUCAGGAUAUAUAUAAAAAAAAACACUUCAUACUGUACUAUAGAAGCAUAAAUAAGAAGUAUAAUUACCUCGAAAUGGUAAAUUGGCGCCGAGGAAAAUGCUGCACAUCGAUGCAUGCUGAUAGAUCCACAAAGCCGCGAAGGACAGGGGUUAAACAGUUGCCUUGCUUUGUUUUGAAGUUGCAACAGCAGCCAUAGAUAACACUAUCCAAAUAUACUACUGCACGAAUGAGAUUGCGCAGACGUUAACACCAAGGGUUCCUUAAAAACAUAUUGUUCAUUCACUAACAUGCUCGCACGCCUCGCGUGACGCUUCGCCGUGACAUGGCAGCCGCCAUUGAACACGUGGUGUGCGCAACUACGGCCGACUACGGUCGCAGUUUUACAUCCUUCUAGCCCGCCGUGUUCCCUUCUCUGUGAUACUGCUCUUCGAUGUCAAUAAAUAUUACGGCCUUUUAUAUGCGGUAUCAAGUUAGCAAUCUACGCAACAAGUUUAACAUUUACUUUAUGCGCACUUCAACAGAAAAUACGACACUGACGAAAUUUCAGCGGCAAACAAAUAUGGUCGCUGCUAUCACCGUAGCUGCUAUUGCACCGUCGUUCGUAAGCUGACCGGGUACCGCGAUUCUGCUUUGCAGAUUACGGCUGGUUUGUCGUUUUUUUUCUUUUUCUUUUUUUCUUGGGAAAGUAUUCGCUGUGCUGUAAAUACUAGUGGUUUCCUCAACGACUCAUCGCGACGAGGCUCAGUGAAGCAAAAUUGACAAGACCAUGUAGGCGCGCACGUGGCGUUUGUGUAUGUUGCUGAAAGAUGGCCAGUUUCACUAUCUUAGUGUGCUGAAACUAAUGCAAACGUGCGAACGCAAUCUGCUGCACAGUUGUACAGCAGAAUUUUUAAUUAUUCAGUGAUUAAUUAGAAACACCUCUUCAUGCAGGCAAGUGGUCCGCUAGUCUAAUUUUUCAUCAACUUUCACCAGCAAACAAGAGCUGCAGAAUCCAGCAAUACAUGUUGUAUCAGUCCAGCAACAAUCGGUAUAAGGCCAAUGGGACCUAUUAGUCUAAUAGAGAAACUAGUAGACAUGCAACACUGUUUGUAUAAGACUAAUAAGUCUAAUACACAGGGCCUAUUGGUCUUAUAGGUAAAUCAGUACGACUAAUAGAAAUUUCUAUUGGUCUAAUACAAAACUUAUACAAAUAAUACAAAACUGUAUUAGACUAAUAAGAACUUCUAUUAGAAUUUCUACUAGGGGGAUAGUGGCAGGAUGCUUUCUUUUUAUUUAAGCGAACUACAAUUUCUGUUAUAUAUAAUAGAGACAUUGAGGCUAGAGUAGGCUACUGGAGCAUCCUGUUUCUGCACAUGUUCUUGAAAUACAUAGGGGGUACUGGCAAGGUGCUUUCUUUUUAUUUAAGUGAACUACAAUUUCUGUUAUAUAUAAUAGAGACAUUGAGGCUAGAGUAGGCUACUGGAGCAUCCUGUUUCUGCACAUGUUCUUGAAAUACAUAGGGGGUACUGGCAAGGUGCUUUCUUUUUAUUUAAGUGAACUACAAUUUCUGUUAUAUAUAAUAGAGACAUUGAGGCUAGAGUAGGCUACUGGAGCAUCCUGUUUCUGCACAUGUUCUUGAAAUACAUAGGGGGUACUGGCAAGGUGCUUUCUUUUUAUUUAAGUGAACUACAAUUUCUGUUAUAUAUAAUAGAGACAUUGAGGCUAGAGUAGGCUACUGGAGCAUCCUGUUUCUGCAGAUGUUCUUGAAAUACAUAGGGGGUACUGGCAAGGUGCUUUCUUUUUAUUUAAGUGAACUACAAUUUCUGUUAUAUAUAAUAGAGACAUUGAGGCUAGAGUAGGCUACUGGAGCAUCCUGUUUCUGCACAUGUUCUUGAAAUACAUAGGGGGUACUGGCAAGGUGCUUUCUUUUUAUUUAAGUGAACUACAAUUUCUGUUAUAUAUAAUAGAGACAUUGAGGCUAGAGUAGGCUACUGGAGCAUCCUGUUUCUGCACAUGUUCUUGAAAUACAUAGGGGGUACUGGCAAGGUGCUUUCUUUUUAUUUAAGUGAACUACAAUUUCUGUUAUAUAUAAUAGAGACAUUGAGGCUAGAGUAGGCUACUGGAGCAUCCUGUUUCUGCACAUGUUCUUGAAAUACAUAGGGGGUACUGGCAAGGUGCUUUCUUUUUAUUUAAGUGAACUACAAUUUCUGUUAUAUAUAAUAGAGACAUUGAGGCUAGAGUAGGCUACUGGAGCAUCCUGUUUCUGCACAUGUUCUUGAAAUACAUAGGGGGUACUGGCAAGGUGCUUUCUUUUUAUUUAAGUGAACUACAAUUUCUGUUAUAUAUAAUAGAGACAUUGAGGCUAGAGUAGGCUACUGGAGCAUCCUGUUUCUGCAGAUGUUCUUGCAAUACAUAGGGGGUACUGGCAAGGUGCUUUCUUUUUAUUUAAGCGAACUACAAUUUCUGUUAUGUAUAAUAGAGACAUUGAGGCUAGAGUAGGCUACUGGAGCAUCCUGUUUCUGCACAUGUUCUUGAAAUACAUAGGGGGUACUGGCAAGGUGCUUUCUUUUUAUUUAAGUGAACUACAAUUUCUGUUAUAUAUAAUAGAGACAUUGAGGCUAGAGUAGGCUACUGGAGCAUCCUGUUUCUGCACAUGUUCUUGAAAUACAUAGGGGGUACUGGCAAGGUGCUUUCUUUUUAUUUAAGUGAACUACAAUUUCUGUUAUAUAUAAUAGAGACAUUGAGGCUAGAGUAGGCUACUGGAGCAUCCUGUUUCUGCACAUGUUCUUGCAAUACAUAGGGGGUACUGGCAAGGUGCUUUCUUUUUAUUUAAGUGAACUACAAUUUCUGUUAUAUAUAAUAGAGACAUUGAGGCUAGAGUAGGCUACUGGAGCAUCCUGUUUCUGCACAUGUUCUUGAAAUACAUGGGUUCUGGCAGGAUGCUUUCUUUUUAUUUAAGUGAACUACAAUUUCUGUUAAGAUUUUGCCAUGUUCCAAUUCAAUCUUGAGACUAGAACACAUUUACUGUGCUCUUCAUAGGUGCACCAUUUAAAUGCUUUAUUGUGAAAGGGCCUGCAGGGUUAUUGGUAGGCUCCAACGUUGCAACAAGUAGAACUGCAGCUAGAUGUACUAUGCUAGCUGAAUCUUCAGGAGUUCUAAUGGUGUGGGUGGGACAGAUGUGACAUCAGGUUUGGCUUCCACCUAUGGCGAGUUGUAUUUUCAUCCACUUUCACUUUUUUAUUUUUUAUUUUAUUUUCAAUACUGUGAGCCCUUUCGGGCUGUUACAGGGUGGGAUAAUUCACAACACUAAGAGCGAAUAUACAAACAGCGUAACAAAAGUAACACAAUGCAAACUGAAGGCAAAAAUGUAUAAACAGCAUACAGUAGCAUAAACAAAACAGCAGCAGAAACAGCGCAGUACAACGCCAAAUAACAUUGAAUUUAAACUUUAAACAUAUAAUGAUUCUAGGUUUCUUUCAAAACUCGCAAGCGAAUUCAUACCGUCAAAUAUUUCUGAGUUAACUUUGUUCCACUCUUCUAUUGUUUUGACCAGAAACGAAUGCUUGUAAACAUCAACUCUAGGCACAUAAGGUCUAACAACGUAUAGGUUAUUAUUAUUUGUGCAUUUCGAUUAAACAUUAGAGUUAAUUUCCCAUUUACUUUCUCGGGCCUCAUGGCCUGUAGGCUUAAGGUUGUUUUGACUAACAAAAAUUGUCCCCAUAUAUAAAGAAACAGUGGCGUAGCCAGAAAUUUUGUUGGAGG